rnacentral:rRNA from 1 species
CCCUUAGAUGUCCUGGGCCGCACGCGCGCUACACUGAUGCAUUCAACGAGUUUUACCUUGGCCGAGAGGCCUGGGCAAUCUUUUAAACCUGCAUCGUGAUAGGGAUAGAUUAUUGCAAUUUUUAAUCUUGAACGAGGAAUUCCUAGUAAACGCAAAUCAUCAAUUUGCAUUGAUUACGUCCCUGCCCUUUGUACACACCGCCCGUCGCACCUACCGAUUGAAUGGUCCGGUGAAGCCUCGGGAUUGUGGCCAGUUCACUUUAUUGGGAGUUGGCUGUGAGAACUUGUCUAAACCUUAUCAUUUAGAGGAAGGUGAGGUCGUAACA